GAUGAACGCUGACAGAAGGCUUAACACAUGCAGUCACUGAUUGGGGCGGACGGGGGAGUAACGCGUAAAGAACUUGAGUCACAGCUAGGGAGAACAUUUGGAAAGGAAUGCUAAUACCUAAUACUGUGAGAGAGCCGUGCGUCACAUUAGCGAGUUGGAGAGGUAACGGCGCACCAAGGAGAGGAUGGGUAGCCGGCCAGAGAGGGUGAUAGGCCACAGGGGGACUUGUGCACCACCCUUGCUCCUACUGGAGGCAGCAGUGGGGACUAGUUGUCAAUGGACCAAAGUCUGAUCCAGCACUUCGGUGUGCAAGGUGAUUUUGUCGGAAUGUAAAUUGCUUUCAGUUGGGAAGCGGUACCAACAGAAGAAGCGACGGCUAACUACGUGCCAGCAGCCGCGGUAAUUC
rnacentral:rRNA from 1 species